rnacentral:tRNA from 1 species
GAGGGUACAGCUCAGUGGUAGAGCACAUGCCUAGCACACACAAGGUCCUGAGUUCAAUUCCCAGUAUCUCCA